UACAGAGGGGCGAAGCGUUGUUCGGAAUUACUGGGCGUAAAGGGCGCGUAGGCGGCCUGUUAAGUCGGACGUGAAAUCCCUCGGCUCAACCGGGGAACUGCGUCCGAUACUGGCGGGCUUGAAUUCGGGAGAGGGAUGUGGAAUUCCAGGUGUAGCGGUGAAAUGCGUAGAUAUCUGGAGGAACACCGAUGGCGAAGGCAGGUCUCUGGGCCACUACUGACGCUGAGAAGCGAAAGCAUGGGGAGCGAACAGG
rnacentral:rRNA from 1 species